GAUGAACGCUGACAGAAUGCUUAACACAUGCGAGUCAACUUGAACUUCGGUUUGGGUGGCGGACGGGUGAGUAACGCGUACAGAACUUGCCUCACAGCUAGGGACAACAUUUGGAAACGAAUGCUAAUACCUGAUAUUAUGAUUUUAGGGCAUCCUAGAAUUAUGAAAGCUAUAUGCGCUGUGAGAGAGCUUUGCGUCCCAUUAGCUAGUUGGAGAGGUAACGGCUCACCAAGGCGAUGAUGGGUAGCCGGCCUGAGAGGGUGAACGGCCACAAGGGGACUGAGACACGGCCCUUACUCCUACGGGAGGCAGCAGUGGGGAAUAUUGGACAAUGGACCAAGAGUCUGAUCCAGCAAUUCUGUGUGCACGAUGAAGUUUUUCGGAAUGUAAAGUGCUUUCAGUUGGGAAGAAAAAAAUGACGGUACCAACAGAAGAAGUGACGGCUAAAUACGUG
rnacentral:rRNA from 1 species